CGGGAGCUUGCUCCCUUAGGUCAGCGGCGGACGGGUGAGUAACACGUGGGUAACCUGCCUGUAAGACUGGGAUAACUCCGGGAAACCGGGGCUAAUACCGGAUGCUUGAUUGAACCGCAUGGUUCAAUCAUAAAAGGUGGCUUUUAGCUACCACUUGCAGAUGGACCCGCGGCGCAUUAGCUAGUUGGUGAGGUAACGGCUCACCAAGGCGACGAUGCGUAGCCGACCUGAGAGGGUGAUCGGCCACACUGGGACUGAGACACGGCCCAGACUCCUACGGGAGGCAGCAGUAGGGAAUCUUCCGCAAUGGACGAAAGUCUGACGGAGCAACGCCGCGUGAGUGAUGAAGGUUUUCGGAUCGUAAAACUCUGUUGUUAGGGAAGAACAAGUACCGUUCGAAUAGGGCGGUACCUUGACGGUACCUAACCAGAAAGCCACGGCCAACUACGUGCCAGCAGCCGCGGUAAUACGUAGGUGGCAAGCGUUGUCCGGAAUUAUUGGGCGUAAAGCGCGCGCAGGCGGUUUCUUAAGUCUGAUGUGAAAGCCCCCGGCUCAACCGGGGAGGGUCAUUGGAAACUGGGGAACUUGAGUGCAGAAGAGGAGAGUGGAAUUCCACGUGUAGCGGUGAAAUGCGUAGAGAUGUGGAGGAACACCAGUGGCGAAGGCGACUCUCU
rnacentral:rRNA from 1 species